CUUGAUAUUGCUGUAAAUUGGUACCAUGUCGGUUGGUUUUGCUUGGUAAGAUGACCAAUGUAUAUCUCUAUUUGAGGAAUUCUCCAAAGAUCCAGAGCCGAUUGUUUCAUAGAGCUGUGAAGUUGCGUUAAACAUACUGGAUUUUGAACGAUCCGACAAACCAUUCGAGGUACUUGGAAGAUUAAGUCUCUUAUCUGGGUGGUUGUUACAGGUUUAGGAUGUUAAAUGAUUUUGGAUGUACUCUGCGAUGUCGAUGAUGCAGAGAUGUUGGUGAAGCUCAGGUUCGAACAACUUCAUGUGUAUAUUUUAUUAUAAAAAAUAAAAGUUUUUUUUUGUUUCA